UACGUAGGGUGCAAGCGUUAAUCGGAAUUACUGGGCGUAAAGCGUGCGCAGGCGGUUUUGUAAGUCUGUCGUGAAAUCCCCCGGGCUCAACCUGGGAAUGGCGAUGGAGACUGCAAGGCUAGAGUUUGGCAGAGGGGGGGUAGAAUUCCACGUGUAGCAGUGAAAUGCGUAGAUAUGUGGAGGAACACCGAUGGCGAAGGCAGCCCCCUGGGUCAAAACUGACGCUCAUGCACGAAAGCGUGGGGAGCAAACAGG
rnacentral:rRNA from 1 species